rnacentral:rRNA from 1 species
CCAGACUCCUACGGGAGGCAGCAGUGGGGAAUAUUGCACAAUGGGGAAAACCCUGAUGCAGCGACGCCGCGUGAGCGAAGAAGUAUUUCGGUAUGUAAAGCUCUAUCAGCAGGGAAGAAAUUGACGGUACCUGAGUAAGAAGCUCCGGCUAAAUACGUGCCAGCAGCCGCGGUAAUACGUAGGUGGCAAGCGUUGUCCGGAUUUACUGGGUGUAAAGGGCGUGCAGCCGGGCUGACAAGUCAGAUGUGAAAUCCCGCGGCUCAACCGCGGAACUGCAUUUGAAACUGUCAGUCUUGAGUACCGGAGAGGUCAUCGGAAUUCCUUGUGUAGCGGUGAAAUGCGUAGAUAUAAGGAAGAACACCAGUGGCGAAGGCGGAUGACUGGACGGCAACUGACGGUGAGGCGCGAAAGCGUGGGGAGCAAGCAGGAUUAGAUACCCCAGUAA